CAAUAGCGUAUACUAACGUUGUUGCAGUUAAAAAGCUCGUAGUUGGAUUUCUGAAGGUGGUUGGAUUGGUGUGACCUCGCGUUGCCUCAACCAUACUAUUUUCAACAUAUGCGAUGAAUUGGUGUGGUUAAUUAAGUUUGAUCCGCCAUUAAAUCGCUCGUUUACUUUGAGAAAAUUAGGGUGUUCAAAGCAGGCAUAACGCCUUGAAUAUGUUAGCAUGGAAUAAUAGCAUAGGACUUUGGUUCUAUUUGUUGGUUGUUCGAGAACCGGAGUAAUGAUUGAUAGGGACGGUUGGGGGCAUCCGUAUUCUCAAGCGAGAGGUGAAAUUCUUGGACCUUGGGAAGACGAACAGCUGCGAAAGCGUUUGCCUAGGACGUUCUCUUUAA
rnacentral:rRNA from 1 species